UACGUAGGGUGCGAGCGUUAAUCGGAAUACUGGGCGUAAAGCGUGCGCAGGCGGUUUUGUAAGCCAGAUGUGAAAUCCCCGGGCUUAACCUGGGAAUGGCAUUUGGGACUGCAAGGCUUGAGUGCGGCAGAGGAGACUGGAAUUCCUGGUGUAGCAGUGAAAUGCGUAGAUAUCAGGAGGAACACCGAUGGCGAAGGCAGGUCUCUGGGCUGACACUGACGCUCAUGCACGAAAGCGUGGGGAGCAAACAGG
rnacentral:rRNA from 1 species